rnacentral:rRNA from 1 species
UACGGGGGGAGCAAGCGUUGUCCGGAUUUAUUGGGCGUAAAGAGCUCGUAGGUGGCUUAGUAAGUCGGGUGUGAAACCUCCAGGCUCAACCUGGAGACGCCACCCGAUACUGCUAUAGCUUGAGUCCGGUAGGGGAGCGUGGAAUUCCUGGUGUAGCGGUGAAAUGCGCAGAUAUCAGGAGGAACACCGGUGGCGAAGGCGGGUCUCUGGGAAGUAACUGACGCUGAGAAGCGAAAGCGUGGGUAGCGAACAGG